CUCUUACUUGCUGAUGUAAAAUCUGCCCUCACACACGCACACACACACACAGCACAGGCUAAGACAUCUGCCAGCACACUAAAAAUGAACAAGUCAUUUCAGCGUGUCGAGCAAAUUUCACACACAUCCAAGGCCUCUCUCUGAUCUUCUUAAAUCACUGCUUGCCUACCGCUUCCUUAAUAAACCCCCUUCUUUCAUAUCCGCAGUGUUUCUUGCUCCCCGUGACCCUUUCUGGAAGCUUCUUCUCUGCUCUGAAGUGCCGAGCAUCAUUGAAAAGGAAACGUGUCUAAUUAAACAUGACCUUAUUUACAUACCAUAACAGAAAAAGGAAGGAUUUUCACUCUUGGAAGAGGACCUCUGCAGGCACAAAAGUGUGUUUUGUUCUCUUCUUUGUGAAGGCUUUCCUCUCAUCUGCAGACAGAUAGAGGGAGACAGAAGAUGGUGGUUAUCACUGGAGUCAUGGGCCCUGAUCAGAGGCAGGGUGCUGGGUCUUAUCUUAAUGAAGCUGUGCUUAUCAUGAGCUCGAGGUCACUGCUAUCUGUCUGACCUCUGACUGCACCCUCUUUCUGUCAAUUAACCCACUCACAAAAGUCUGUCUACCCUUUCACACUUACAUACAUACAGUUUCAAUAAAAAGUUACUGUUCAGCUAUUUUGAUUGAAAAAUGAAAAGGUUGAGACAUCUAUUUUACAUGUGGUUUGCAAAGGAACUCUAUUGCCCUCUGAACUCAAAGGCAGCGGGAGGCCCCAAUUUUGCCCCUUAAAUUUUCCUUUUCUUCUUUUGCUUUCAAACACAUUUCUUUCCUGUAGAAAUUCUUUUUUUUCUUUCUUUUUUUUGCAGUCUUCUUUUUGAACUUUUUUCUCUUUUCUUUCUUGCAAGCUUUCUUUCUUUCAUGCUUCCAUUAUGUUAUUAUAUAUGUUACAGUUUUAUUUUGGGUACAGCAAAGUUGAUGAUCUAAAAAAAACUUGGAAAAACAAGUUAUGGGUGGGGUGGAUAAAAUGUUCAGGUUUAGAUUGAGAACUGGGUCGCAAUUUAGAUUAGGGCCUACUUCUCACUAUUAGCUAACUAUUAACUACGACUUUUGCCUCAAUAAACUCCUAAUUACUGCUUAUUAAUAGUUAGGUAGUUGUUACAUUUAG